rnacentral:rRNA from 1 species
AUUGAACGCUGGCGGCAUGCUUUACACAUGCAAGUCGAACGGUAACAGGCCGCAAGGUGCUGACGAGUGGCGAACGGGUGAGUAAUGCAUCGGAACGUGCCCAGUCGUGGGGGAUAACGCAGCGAAAGCUGCGCUAAUACCGCAUACGAUCUAUGGAUGAAAGCGGGGGACCGUAAGGCCUCGCGCGAUUGGAGCGGCCGAUGUCAGAUUAGGUAGUUGGUGGGGGAAAGGCUCACCAAGCCAACGAUCUGUAGCUGGUGUGAGAGGACGACCAGCCACACUGGGACUGAGACAAGGCCAAGACUCCUACGGGAGGCAGCAGUGGGGAAUUUUGGACAAUGGGCGCAAGCCUGAUCCAGCAAUGCCGCGUGCAGGAAGAAGGCCUUCGGGUUGUAAACUGCUUUUGUACGGAACGAAACGGUCCUGGUUAAUACCCGGGGCUAAUGACGGUACCGUAAGAAUAAGCACCGGCUAACUACGUGCCAGCCGCCGCGGUAAAAC